rnacentral:rRNA from 1 species
GAUGAACGCUAGCGGCAGGCUUAAUACAUGCAAGUCGAACGGGAUUCGGGUAGCAAUACCUGAUGAGAGUGGCGCACGGGUGCGUAACGCGUAUGCAACCUACCUUUAACCGGGGCACAACUCCGCGAAAGCGGGGCUAAUAUCCCAUAACAUUGCGAUGUGGCAUCACAUUGCAAUUAAAGCUCCGGCGGUUAUAGAUGGGCAUGCGUGACAUUAGCUAGUUGGUGAGGUAAUGGCUCACCAAGGCUACGAUGUCUAGGGGUUCUGAGAGGAUUAUCCCCCACACUGGUACUGAGACACGGACCAGACUCCUACGGGAGGCUG